rnacentral:misc_RNA from 1 species
GAAAUGCGAUAAGUAGUGUGAAUUGCAGAAUUCAGUGAAUCAUCGAAUCUUUGAACGCACAUUGCGCCCUUUGGUAUUCCUUAGGGCAUGCCUGUUCGAGCGUCAUCUAAACCUUCAAGCCCUGCUUGGUGUUGGGUGCCUGUCCCGCCUCCGCGCGCGGACUCACCUCAAAUCCAUUGGCGGCCCCCGCGUCGGCCACGAGCGCAGCAGAAACGCGAACUCGUGAGCCCGUCCGGGCGGCUCCCAGAAGCUACACCCACCCAGUUUGACCUCGGAUCAGGUAGGGAUACCCUCUGAACUUAAGC